UCCUUGUGAAUCUGCAAAUAUCCUUAUUUUACCCUUUAUUUUACCAUGUAUCAUUUACAGACAAACUUCCAGUCCUGCAAGCUUCAUUCAUAGGAGUGAAUUCUCAUGAGAUCUGAUGAUUUUAUUACAAGUGGCUUCCCCCUUCUCUCGGCUCUCAUUCUUGCUCCUGCCACCAUGUGAAGAAGGGCGUGUUUGCUUCCCUUUCCACCGGGAUUGUAAGUUUCCUGAGGCCUCCCCAGCCAUGCGAAACUGGCCUAGGCUGAAGGAGAAGACAUAGCAGCCCAUGGGACAUGUUCGUCUCAUGGAUGAUCACAAUUGCCAAGAAGAUAAGCCAGCAUACAGGUUAUGCCAGAUGCUAGAAGAAGACUGUUGCUAUUGUUUUUCUCCAUGCUCAAGGAUUUUUGUCCUUUGCAAAAUAAUCUCAGAAUGUAUUGUAGAAGCUACUGAUGCCCCAAUCUAUGUCCGUCAGCCAAAUGUCUGGAUUCACUGCAGCUGCGCGACACACCCAUGUCUUUCUACCUCAACUAUCCACGCCUCUCUGCUUGCUUCUCUGCCUGUGGGGCUUUCUUGGCAGUACAGGAGUUUGCUCUGCCUAGAAGUGUAAUGAGUUUAAUUUCCCAGCAGCAAUUUUCAACCAGUGAGAAACUGGAACUGGUGCAUAAACAGCCCAGAUUCCCUAUCACCCUUUGGGCCACACUCUCAGAAAGCUUGAGAUUGCGGUUACCUGCUCCCUGCUCCCUUGUGCACACACCUUUCAUUGGCUGUCUUCCCUUUUCUACUUCACUCCUCACUCCCUUGUUGCACUUCCUGGGAUCACCUGUCAAACUACCUGGGGCAUGGUGACAUGCAUCUGUAGUCCCAACUACACAGGAGGUUGAGGUGAGAAGAUCACUUGAACCCAGGAGUUCUAGUCCAGCCUGGGCAACAUAGCAAGACUCCUGUCUCUUAAAAAAUAAAAUAAAAUACAUGUAUCUACAUCAUUUUCUCAGGGUUGGCUUUUGGAGGAGCCUAAACUAAGACUGUAAGCAGGAAACACUGAGAGCUCUCCCUAAAAUGCACAAAACUCAGAGAAACUAAAGCAAUAAAGUAACUUAAUUUAUGUGUAGAUAAAAAGUGUCUCAGAGAUGGCAUUGUUCUGUCAGAGCUGGCAAGUUAAAAAGCAGCCAAAUACAAAAAAUAUGCACAGAAGAAAAAGAAAAACACUCAUCCAGGUGCUGGUCUGUGUUUAAAGCACAGAGAGGUGCAGUUUAGUCUUAGGCUUCUUCUGUGCCCUGGUAUAUUAGUCUGUUCUCACUCUGCUAUGAGGACAUACCCGAGACUGAGUAAUUUAUAAAGUAAAGAGGUUUAGUUGACUCACAGUUCAACAUGGCUGGGUAGGCCUCAGGAAACUUACAAUCAUGACAGAAGGGGAAGCAAACACGCCCUUGUUCACAUGGCAGUAGCAAGGAGAAGUGCCACGCAAAAGGGGGAAAAGCCUGUUAUAAAACCAUCAGAUCCCGUGAGAACUCACUAUCAUAAGAACAGCAUGAGGGUAACGACCCCCAUGAUUAAAUUACCUCCCACCAGGUCGCAGCUCUAACACAUGGGAAUUACAAUUCAGAUUACAAUUCACAAUGAGAUUUUGUGUGGGGACACAGCCAAACUAUAUCACCUGGCUUCUUCCACUCCCUAACUAGUAUUACCAGAUCUUUUCUCUCUGUGGGUGCUCCUUUCUCUGACUAUUGUCCAGAAGGGACAAAUAUGGUCCUGUGCUCAUUAUUUCAAGAACAAUAGAUUUGCAUCAGACUCAUGUGCUUCUGAGAAAUGAUGUCGAACCACUCUUGCGUUGUAGCUCACAUCCUCUUGGCCACAUUUUUACAGCAACCAGCUUUGUGAUAGUGUCACUGCCAGCACCUUGCAUCAGCUGCAGCACUUAUCUCUUGCUUCUCUGUUACCAUCUGUUAAGAUGCCUUCUGCAAACUACUCAGCCAUUCUGAAGCAGGUGCAAUCUUUGAAGUCCACGGUCGUGAACAGCCUUUCGGCCAACAUGACCAAUGGUAGAAGACAGUCAAUGGAUCAUCCCUUCUCUCAUUUGUCUUUCUGGUGGACAAUUUUGAAGUGUAUUCUGUGUAGUUUCUCAGAGUGUCCCCUGGAGACCUGUGUCUCAUUUGCUCACAGCAUUGUUUAGAUUAACACAUCUUCUUGAUUUUACUUUUUCCUGCAUGUACACUCUUGUGUCCAACCCAAGUUUCUGGGGAACACUAUGCUGUUUGGGUCCACAUUUCCCUGUUUCUCCCUUCCUAGUGGCUCCUCACACAACCCUGGACCAAUUGCUCUGACAUCAACAUGGUCUCCAUCUUGCCUUAAAAUGAACAAAGGGGUAAAGAUUUAAAAAUGAGAAUCUUGCUGCUAACUGCUCUGAAGGUAUUAACCACGUGUAAAAUUUUGAACAAAUGUUUAUAACUCUAACUUGUUGAAUACUUGUUGACAUACUUGUUGAAUUUGUUAAAUUUUAAAAAACUUACUGAUUGUAAUUGUUGAAUUUUUGAGAACCCUAAUUCUUCCUCAAAAUUGGUCCUUCAUUCAUUUCCACUUUUCUUUGGAAUGUACGGUAUUUACAACCAUGGCUGCAGAUUUUUUGGGGGUUGGUUAUUGAUUCAGAAAAAAUGCUUAUUAAUAUGUCAUUUGGGCAGGCACUAUAAAGAAUAUAGAGUGACUAAAAUGCAGUUGCUAAAAUACAAGGAUAAUUUAAUGAUGAAAUAGGAAAAGCUUUACAAAUAACCAGAGCAAGUGAAAUACAGAGUAUGAUCAGCAUAAUGAAUAAAGUGUUGACAUAAUACAUAAUACAUGAAGUCCUAAUACAUAAUGUUAUGGUGACAAGAGAAGCCCAUCUGGUCAGAAGCAUAGACUACACACUGUUUUUCAGUUGGCUCAUGAAGGAUGCUCCUCUUGGGCUGUGCUGAGACUAGCAAAGACAAUUGGUGAGCUUUUUUUUUGUCACAAUGACAAAAAUGUUUGUAUUUGGUUGGCUAAGACAUUUUGAAGCAACAUUUUUCAAUUUAAUUCUUGAGAACAUUUUGAUGGCUCGCUCUCGACAUCUCAAGCUCCAAGGAUAUUUCAACAAGUUUCUGUGCUAUGUCAUCAAACAGCAUGUUUCUCCUCUCCAAGAUUGAGCUUUUAAGAGUUACGGAGUCUACUUUUCCUGAGGUCGUGAAGUCCUAAUACAUGUACUUUUGAAGCAUGAUGACUCUUCAUGCCUCCUG
ensembl:lncRNA SNAP25-AS1 SNAP25 antisense RNA 1